UAGGGAAUCUUCCACAAUGGGCGCAAGCCUGAUGGAGCAACACCGCGUGAGUGAAGAAGGGUUUCGGCUCGUAAAGCUCUGUUGUUAAAGAAGAACACGUAUGAGAGUAACUGUUCAUACGUUGACGGUAUUUAACCAGAAAGUCACUGCUAACUACGUGCCCG
rnacentral:rRNA from 1 species